rnacentral:rRNA from 1 species
AUUGAACGCUGGCGGCAUGCCUUACGCAUGCAAGUCGAACGGUAACAGGUCUUCGGAUGCUGACGAGUGGCGAACGGGUGAGUAAUACAUCGGAACGUGCCUAGUAGUGGGGGAUAACUACUCGAAAGAGUGGCUAAUAACGCAUGAGAUGUACGGAUGAAAGCAGGGGAUCGGAAGACCUGGUCCUAAUAAAGCGGCCGAUGGCAGAUUAGGUAGUUGGUUGGAUAAAAGCUUCACAAGCAGACGAUCUGUAGCUGGUCUGAGAGGACGAUCAGCCACACUGGGACUGAGACACGGCCCAGACUCCUACGGGAGGCAGCAGUGGGGAAUUUUGGACAAUGGGCGCAAGCCUGAUCCAGCAAUGCCGCGUGCAGGGUGAAGGCCUUCGGGUUGUAAACUGCUUUUGUACGGAACGAAAAGCCCUGGGUUAAUACCCUGGGGUCAUGACGGUACCGUAAGAAUAAGCACCGGCUAACUACGUGCCAGCCGCCGCCGUAAAAC